UGGUGGGAGAAGUGAAGUCAGUAGCAGGACGUGUGUGGCUGCCCCGUGCUCUGCCCUCCUUGCUGGAUGUUGUGGACACUCAGAGCUGAUGGUACUGAAGGGUUAAAGAGGAAAUGGGAGAGGCUGUGGAUUCCCAGAUAAAAUAUUCGGGGAGUUUGUGCUCUGACAGCUCUGUCCUUGUCUCUGGUACAAAAGGCCUUGAAUCAGCGGAAUGCCUCAGGUGGAGAUCCAGGGGGAUGGAUCUGCUCCCUGCCUCCUGGAUUUUUUCCCUGCUUGCUCUCAGUGUAUGUGCUAAGUGCCCAUAAGCUGCCUCCCUUCAUCUCCUUAGGCACAUGGAAUGGACCACACUGUCCAGAGGUAGGAGAUGAGAAUUCCCCAGGAAAUCAGGAUUCUCUCCUGGGAAAGAUGGAUAAACCCCACGGUGUACCAGCAGGGGCUGGAAUAUUCCCCACAUCCUGCUAGAUCUCUGCUAAUCAGAAAAGAAAAGAGAUCCUCUGCUCAGAAGGGAAUAAAGACAUCCUGAGGGAUAAUCCAGCAGAGCCACGAGCCCUCUGCCACCUCGCAGGAUUUUCAGUUCUGUGGGAGCUAAACCUCAGAAAAAAGAGCAAUUUUCUUCUUCCUGGAUGGCCUGAAGGUAACAAAGCUGCCCUGUGCCAGAGCAGCUGCAGGGAUGGGAGCACAUUUCUCAGUUAUUGGAGCAGGGAAUUGUGCUGGGAUUCCUGGGUUCUUUCCCCAGCUCUGCCUUUGAUUUGUGGCGUGUGCAGACCCCUUAAUUUGUUUCUGUUUUCCCCAUCUGUGAAACUGAGAUAAGAUCACAGGGGAAUUGUAAAGUGUGCUUCAUUAAUGUUUAUUAGACAGGGGGAAAUCCUUCAAUGAAUGGCUCUGUAUUCCAGGAGGACAAAGUUCAGCACUGCAAAGGGGUUGAUUAAAACCAAAUCUGCUAUUCCCAGGCUGGGAGGACAAAAAAAAUAAAAGGAAAAAAAAAAAGAGAAUUGAAAAACCUUACCUAGCCCUGUGUCUGCCAAAAGAAAGAUGUGAUUUAAAUAAAAUCAUGCAGACUGCAAGUGUGUCUGCAUAAAUGUGUGUCUAUUAAAACCAUUAAAUAUUUCUUGGCAAACACACAGCAAAAAGUGAAAUAAGGGUGUGUUUGCAGUUUCAAAUGUGUAUAUGAUCACCAUUAACUGUAAAUUACCAGUGGCAACAUGACAUAAGUAAAUGGUGAUUCAAUAAAUUUGGUAUUUUCCAUAAAGGAGUGUACCAACAUAGAGUGUAUUGGCACAUUCCACUAUUUUUGUCAGACUGUCACAACCCUGUUUAGUGUGGGAUUUUACAAUGCCUGCUUGUUGGCAGACUAAACAAUUAUUUGUAGGUUAGACAGAGCUAACUGAUGGAACUGAUGGAAUAUGUUCCAAGCCUCAGAGUGCAUGUUCCUAGUGGGGAAAUAUUUCUCCCAUUGUGCCAGAGGCAAAAAUUGAGGGAAUUUGGGAUAACCAGACUCAGUGGGUGGCCUGAAUUUGCUCCUGGUGUGACACCAAAUUUACUGUGUGCUUCUUUUCACUGAUAGAGCCCAAUGGAGGGUGAAAAACAGCGUGUGAGGGGAGAAAGGACUGAGCUACGGGCAAAAUUCACCAUAAAAAUCGCAUUUUGGGGAAAGCAGGGGAGCUGGACUGCGGCUGGUGUGUGUUCAGCGUUCUGUGUAUGCCAUCUUCAGGCCGGCUGUGAACUCACAGGCGGAGCAGCAGCGCCUUCAUUUGUUCAUCACAGCGAGUUUUGGGUUAUUCAUGUCCUUAAAAAUCACAUUUGUUACCCGGAGCACAACACAGCGAUACCUGCACGUACCAGAGGGACUUUGAUUAUUUAUUUCAGCUUUGACAAGCCUGGGUGAACCUCACAGAGCAGGCAGCCCAACCAUCAAAACUUUUUACUGUUUACACAUUUUACCACACAAAGGAAUUAGUGUUCAUUUGCCACCAGUCACACAGUCCACUUGUUAAUUAGUGUUCUAUCUUCUACCGGUUAAUGAUUUGCUUCUGACGCUAAUUAGUGCUGUGCUGAGUCCUUCUCUUUGGGGUCAGUGGGUUUCUUGGGUGGGUGGUCACAGAAUUACCAGAAUUACCUUUUACCCGCUUGGAGCUCAUUUGGGUUUAUCAGUUUCUUCCACAUCUUGGCAGUUCUGCCAGAUGUCCCCUAAAUUCUGCAUUCUUUGUGUCCACUACCAAUGGUACCCUUUUUUUCCCCACAGCUUUGUUAAGCUGCCGCUAAGUCUGAGAUCAUUGGAGUGUAUCCAAGGCUAAACUUUUAAAAUUCUACCAAGUAAUUUGUUUUUUUCUAACACAUCACUUAGAGCUUGUUGGCCGCUCCCUGUUUCAGAGAUUGAAUCUCAUCUCUUGUUGAUUAGGCUUGAAAGUAUAAAAAGAUAAAACAUCAAAGUGCUUUUUCUCUCUCAAGGAAGAAGUUUUAGUGCAGCAGGUUUGUUUAUCAAUAUUUUACUAUUUUCUACAUGUGUAGAGUUGUGUUUUGUUCAAUAUUGUGUAACAGCCUAAUGUAACACAUUAUGACACUUAGCUGACCUAUGGAAAGAGAGUAUUACUUUAAUGCAACACAAAUGACAUUUAGCUGACCUAUGGAAAUUAUUUAUAACAGAAUUCGAGAUGGUUUCUUCUCCCUUAGAUUUUAGAAUGUGUUUUCCUAAUCAGGGUCGUUCCAUCAGGACAUUUACGUGUGGACUCAAGGCUCAGGUUUUGUCACAAAAUACAUCUGAGCAGGCUGAUCUAGCGGGAUCAUUGAUUU